UGAAGGGGUAAUCGGGAAUAAUGGGCGUAAGCGUGCGCAGGCGGUUCGGAAGAAGAUGUGCAUUAAAAAAGAAAAACUUUGGAAUGGCAUUUUUAACUACCGGGCUAGAGUAUGUCAGAGGGGGGUAGAAUUCCACGUGUAGCAGUGAAAUGCGUAGAGAUGUGGAGGAAUACCGAUGGCGAAGGCAGCCCCCUGGGAUAAUACUGACGCUCAUGCACGAAAGCGUGGGGAGCAAACAGGAUUAGAUACCCUGGUAGUCCACGCCCUAAACGAUGUCAACUAGCUGUUGGGGCCUUCGGGCCUUAGUAGCGCAGCUAACGCGUGAAGUUGACCGCCUGGGGAGUACGGUCGCAAGAUUAAAACUCAAAGGAAUUGACGGGGACCCGCACAAGCGGUGGAUGAUGUGGAUUAAUUCGAUGCAACGCGAAAAACCUUACCUACCCUUGACAUGUCUGGAAUCCUUUAGAGAUAGAGGAGUGCUCGCAAGAGAUCCGGAACACAGGUGCUGCAUGGCUGUCGUCAGCUCGUGU
rnacentral:rRNA from 1 species